rnacentral:rRNA from 1 species
GGUUAAGCGACUAAGCGUACACGGUGGAUGCCCUGGCAGUCAGAGGCGAUGAAGGACGUGCUAAUCUGCGAUAAGCGUCGGUAAGGUGAUAUGAACCGUUAUAACCGGCGAUUUCCGAAUGGGGAAACCCAGUGUGUUUCGACACACUAUCAUUAACUGAAUCCAUAGGUUAAUGAGGCGAACCGGGGGAACUGAAACAUCUAAGUACCCCGAGGAAAAGAAAUCAACCGAGAUUCCCCCAGUAGCGGCGAGCGAACGGGGAGCAGCCCAGAGCCUGAAUCAGUAUGUGUGUUAGUGGAAGCGUCUGGAAAGGCGCGCGAUACAGGGUGACAGCCCCGUACACAAAAAUGCACAUAUUGUGAGCUCGAUGAGUAGGGCGGGACACGUGGUAUCCUGUCUGAAUAUGGGGGGACCAUCCUCCAAGGCUAAAUACUCCUGACUGACCGAUAGUGAACCAGUACCGUGAGGGAAAGGCGAAAAGAACCCCGGCGAGGGGAGUGAAAAAGAACCUGAAACCGUGUACGUACAAGCAGUGGGAGCACGCUUAGGCGUGUGACUGCGUACCUUUUGUAUAAUGGGUCAGCGACUUAUAUUCUGUAGCAAGGUUAACCGAAUAGGGGAGCCGAAGGGAAACCGAGUCUUAACUGGGCGUUAAGUUGCAGGGUAUAGACCCGAAACCCGGUGAUCUAGCCAUGGGCAGGUUGAAGGUUGGGUAACACUAACUGGAGGACCGAACCGACUAAUGUUGAAAAAUUAGCGGAUGACUUGUGGCUGGGGGUGAAAGGCCAAUCAAACCGGGAGAUAGCUGGUUCUCCCCGAAAGCUAUUUAGGUAGCGCCUCGUGAACUCAUCUCCGGGGGUAGAGCACUGUUUCGGCAAGGGGGUCAUCCCGACUUACCAACCCGAUGCAAACUGCGAAUACCGGAGAAUGUUAUCACGGGAGACACACGGCGGGUGCUAACGUCCGUCGUGAAGAGGGAAACAACCCAGACCGCCAGCUAAGGUCCCAAAGUCAUGGUUAAGUGGGAAACGAUGUGGGAAGGCCCAGACAGCCAGGAUGUUGGCUUAGAAGCAGCCAUCAUUUAAAGAAAGCGUAAUAGCUCACUGGUCGAGUCGGCCUGCGCGGAAGAUGUAACGGGGCUAAACCAUGCACCGAAGCUGCGGCAGCGACACUAUGUGUUGUUGGGUAGGGGAGCGUUCUGUAAGCCUGUGAAGGUGUGCUGUGAGGCAUGCUGGAGGUAUCAGAAGUGCGAAUGCUGACAUAAGUAACGAUAAAGCGGGUGAAAAGCCCGCUCGCCGGAAGACCAAGGGUUCCUGUCCAACGUUAAUCGGGGCAGGGUGAGUCGACCCCUAAGGCGAGGCCGAAAGGCGUAGUCGAUGGGAAACAGGUUAAUAUUCCUGUACUUGGUGUUACUGCGAAGGGGGGACGGAGAAGGCUAUGUUGGCCGGGCGACGGUUGUCCCGGUUUAAGCGUGUAGGCUGGUUUUCCAGGCAAAUCCGGAAAAUCAAGGCUGAGGCGUGAUGACGAGGCACUACGGUGCUGAAGCAACAAAUGCCCUGCUUCCAGGAAAAGCCUCUAAGCAUCAGGUAACAUCAAAUCGUACCCCAAACCGACACAGGUGGUCAGGUAGAGAAUACCAAGGCGCUUGAGAGAACUCGGGUGAAGGAACUAGGCAAAAUGGUGCCGUAACUUCGGGAGAAGGCACGCUGAUAUGUAGGUGAAGUCCCUUGCGGAUGGAGCUGAAAUCAGUCGAAGAUACCAGCUGGCUGCAACUGUUUAUUAAAAACACAGCACUGUGCAAACACGAAAGUGGACGUAUACGGUGUGACGCCUGCCCGGUGCCGGAAGGUUAAUUGAUGGGGUCAGCGCAAGCGAAGCUCUUGAUCGAAGCCCCGGUAAACGGCGGCCGUAACUAUAACGGUCCUAAGGUAGCGAAAUUCCUUGUCGGGUAAGUUCCGACCUGCACGAAUGGCGUAAUGAUGGCCAGGCUGUCUCCACCCGAGACUCAGUGAAAUUGAACUCGCUGUGAAGAUGCAGUGUACCCGCGGCAAGACGGAAAGACCCCGUGAACCUUUACUAUAGCUUGACACUGAACAUUGAGCCUUGAUGUGUAGGAUAGGUGGGAGGCUUUGAAGUGUGGACGCCAGUCUGCAUGGAGCCGACCUUGAAAUACCACCCUUUAAUGUUUGAUGUUCUAACGUUGACCCGUAAUCCGGGUUGCGGACAGUGUCUGGUGGGUAGUUUGACUGGGGCGGUCUCCUCCUAAAGAGUAACGGAGGAGCACGAAGGUUGGCUAAUCCUGGUCGGACAUCAGGAGGUUAGUGCAAUGGCAUAAGCCAGCUUGACUGCGAGCGUGACGGCGCGAGCAGGUGCGAAAGCAGGUCAUAGUGAUCCGGUGGUUCUGAAUGGAAGGGCCAUCGCUCAACGGAUAAAAGGUACUCCGGGGAUAACAGGCUGAUACCGCCCAAGAGUUCAUAUCGACGGCGGUGUUUGGCACCUCGAUGUCGGCUCAUCACAUCCUGGGGCUGAAGUAGGUCCCAAGGGUAUGGCUGUUCGCCAUUUAAAGUGGUACGCGAGCUGGGUUUAGAACGUCGUGAGACAGUUCGGUCCCUAUCUGCCGUGGGCGCUGGAGAACUGAGGGGGGCUGCUCCUAGUACGAGAGGACCGGAGUGGACGCAUCACUGGUGUUCGGGUUGUCAUGCCAAUGGCACUGCCCGGUAGCUAAAUGCGGAAGAGAUAAGUGCUGAAAGCAUCUAAGCACGAAACUUGCCCCGAGAUGAGUUCUCCCUGACCCUUUAAGGGUCCUGAAGGAACGUUGAAGACGACGACGUUGAUAGGCCGGGUGUGUAAGCGCAGCGAUGCGUUGAGCUAACCGGUACUAAUGAACCGUGAGGCUUAACCUU